CAGUAGGGGACCUGCACCAUGCCUACGAUUACUCACUCUCUCUCACUGAGGAUGUCUUUAGUAUCUUCUGAGGCCACUUUUUUCACACCAGUUAGCAGUGCCAUAUUGAGGGGAUAGUUCAAAACCACCCUCCCCACCUCUCCCGGUUGCUCAUAGACAGAAUGAUUAGUGUUACUGGGACUGGCCGCACUGGCAUAUUGAUUUAGGUCAGGAGGUUGGUUUUGGCUGAUAUGCUGCCCCCGGAGACAAAGCUGUCACUCAGUCUCGCCAGACUCACUGACAUAAUGGCCCAUACUUUGAGACUGAUUGCUCCAAGCUCGCUAUGCUUCUGCUCAUCUUUAACAGAAUGAUGGCUACUUUAGCUAAAUACAGAGAGUAUCUGUGUAUUGAUCUGCGCUUGGAGGUUGCAAGUCUGAGAGCAAAAAGUGUACAGACCGUAUGGCUCGUCCAUCACAGGAACAUAUUUGGUGCUGAUAUGGAUUUCCAAAAUGGACCCGACAUUGACAAAUAAGUUCGACUUUCACUGUGACUUAACUACACAUUAACAUUAGCAUAUGCAAUUUACAAUGCAAACUUCACUGACCGCCCUGGCUUGGAGGCCAACUCAUGCUAAAGCAAGGUUUAAUUUCAUUUCAGGACUUGGCGCCCCCGAGACGUACGCCAGCAAUCUGUUGCUGUCCGCGAGGGAGAGGUGCUGAAAGACUAACUGCUUGCGCGGCCCCGCGUAAGUCGGAUUCACAUGUUUCAACAGAGGCAGCACUCUCGGUGCUCGUGCCCGCGUCCUGGCAGGCUGCGUCGUGUUUGUCUCUCUCCUCCUACAAGCGCCAAAGACUGUAGUUCGUGUUGUUCACCAAAUAUUCGUCUCUCUUUAGUGUCUUUGUCUUAGUCGUGGGCAUUCCGAGUAAUUUAUUUAUGCAGUAGCCAAUCCCAUACUCAAUAUUUAUACAGGCUGCAUCUUAAGGGGAAAGCGCAUUAAAAUGAAAUAUGCAAACGGUAAGCGAAAGAGUCACAUCGCCGCAUGUGGUUGCUUUUUGUCCUCCACUUAUAAUAUUUAACAACCGUUUUAAUUAUAUUGUUGCUAUACUACACGAGCCAACAUUGUUGAUUUUUUUUUUUAUGAGAUACCGUUUCUCUGCAGUAAAAACAACGGAUAACACAGUCACCUCCCCACACAAAGACACAGCUUAUUUUUAGACAUCAGUCUAAGGCCAAGCAGGUCGCGGUUGCAUGCUAAUAUCAUCUAUGCCGCGUUUGACUUUCGUAACCAACCAAGUCAGCAGCUAUUCUGUCAGUUACAUUGCAGUCAUUGACAAACUGUUCCCACAAGUGCAUUGGUUUAAUCAAACACGCGCAGUUACUUUCCCCUGGGAGGAUGAUCGGGGCUAUGCCGCUAUUGAGUCAGCGUUGGUACAGAAGAAGACAUCACGGGGCAUUUCAUCCAAGCACACAUUUAUUGCAUGGAAAAAGCCAAGGGACGGUCCAGUGCUGACUUCACAGAUGAACCGUUUUUUCCUGAGUUUGUCUUUUUUCACCUCCUCCUCUCAUCCUUCAUCCUCCUUUAAUUUACCCUUCUCUGACCUGACAGGAGGGAUCCGCAUCUAUGAGGACACAGAAGCAGGCGGGCGUAAUCUAUCGAAAACAUCAACAGUUAAAUGGCACUAAGAGAAGGACUGGGAACAUACCGUGGCCAGAAUACUUGCUUCCACUUAGAGGGCCACACGUUCCGUGUACCUAGAGCACAGUGGAGGGUAAGAUACAUUUUGUACAAGAUCCUUUCACUUCUUUGUUCACCCAUAGAGUUGUCUACAAACAGGGACAAAUGUUUUGGACUAGUUGGAAAAGCCUAUGUUGAAUGCAAACACAUGAGCCCCAUUUUUAAUAUGUAUGUACCCAAUAAAUAUUUCAGGUAUUGUGUUUCCAGCCUGCAUACUGGAAUGUUGGUCUUGCAAACUAAGGACAACACCAAUUUGUUGAAAUAUUUUUUUUAAUGAUUAGGAAGGGAAGAAAAUCACAGAAGACCAGGUUGCAGUAUUAAUCUACCUCCAGAUAUUUCAGGGGGUAGCCUAUGAUUGAGACCUGCAUGCUCAUUCUAACACUGGGAUAUCCUUAUUCAGUAGCCUCCCCAGAGAGAUGGAGACUUAAGUUACUAGAUAGCUAGUUGUUGUUAAAAUUGACAACCCAUUUAUCUGCAGUGUUUCUGCGCUGUUGUUUAAUUACAAAGUUCCUAGCAAGGUAGUGGUAUGUGGACCCCGUAGGGGGGUUCUGCACAUGUCAUUGUAGUCCCCCUGGAAGAAAUCAUAGAGUUCAAUGAGGGGUUCUCACGGUAUUGUCAUUGCUAUGGACUAACGUAAUCAGCUGUCCUUGGGGGCCCCUUCUAGCUCGGCACACCCAUGGCUCCACUAGUGGAAAGAGUAUGUAGUUCUUUGGCACUGUCUUGUUUGCACACAUUUAAACCCAAACCGUUACUGAGAAAUGUUACCAUUUACUAUUACUGAGAGAUGAAGCAUUGGCAGGAUUUCAGGAGAAGUUGUUACCGGCCCCUAUCACAAGUCUUAAAUAAUCAGGAGCAUGAUUUGCAUUUUAAUGUAACUGUUGUAUAUUUACCAAAGUUUAUUUACUUUCCAUUACAGUAGGCUUAUCGUCUUAUUGUUUGUAUAUACGUAACUGGUUGAUAAUAGCCCUAUAUGUGUUUCAUCAGGGUAAUGUUGAUUUACUGAAAGUUAGAAUGGAAGUGGGCCUGUCAGUGGCAUGAUAGACAAAUAAUAGCUCUAAUGAUUUUCUGUGAGAUGGUGGAUGGCUUUAUUUUGAACUGGGUGUGGAGGUGAGCUUUUAAAAAAAGAGGAGGCCAUUAACAGUAUAAUGGCAUUUAUGUUGGCGAACUGCCCGUUUAAUUUCCUAACAAAGCAGUGCUUAGGGUAAUAGGUAGUUCAUGGUUUGGAAAACAACUCCCCUUGGGAUGCAAUGCAAUGCUAUGCUAUGCUAUCCCAUACUAUGCUGUAGCACACUGAAGGCCUCUUCUAUGUCCAUCACAGUUUAAACAAGGGCCCUCCAUGUGACAUCACUCCAGUACAGACGAGUAGCCUCUAAGAGCAGACCUCCGGCCGAGCAGCUCACCAGAACACCGGCACCAAAUUGAAGGCGAGAGCACUCUUACCACACUGCACUGUCAACAAGGUUGCACGUCCACCCCCUCCAUACUGCCCUGUCAACAGGCUGGGGCGGCUGGGGCUACUGUUCAAACACAUGGGAUAGGCAUACCAACAGCCUUGGUUGGCUUCCCACGAGCAAUACAAAACAGAAAAAAAUGUUUAACUUUAACUAUGAGAUGAACUUAUCUUAUCUCAAAGACACCAAAUAGGCUGUGCCAAUGGGUCAAGCAGGCAAGGCCAAAUCCUGAGAAUUCUCACCUGAGUUUUGAGGAACUCUGAAUGCUAGCGCAGGUGGGCCACUAUGCUGAACUGUAAGAUGACAGGUAGCAGACUCAGCCAUAAUCAUAAACUGUAUGAUGUCACAGAGAUAUGCUAUUAGUCUCCUGUGCUAUCAUGAAGCUCUCUAAUGCUGAAGUGCUGGCAUAUCCUUGGCCCCCAUAAGAACAGAGGUCUCCUUGUCUUAGCUGAAUCCUGCCUUUGACUGAGCACUGCCCACUAGCCCCGCAUAUAAAUGUGCUCUUCUCUUUGGACGCCAGCAGCAAUGGCUCACGAUCCGAGGGGAUCACGGCCUAAUAAUAUCAUAUGUCUGCCUCCUGCAUUAACAUGUAUGAGAGCGAGAGUUUUGCUUGUAUUUCUGGUCGUAUGUGGAUGAUGGUGAAGAGUGGCCGGGUUCCCCGCGUCAAACACUCGAGCCUUUCAUUUCUCGCACUUACAUAAAUGGCAUUAAACAUUUAAGACAGGGCUGGAUAAUUGUCCAGGAUGCGGAGCUUUGCGCUCUCUCUCUGAGCUCAUCAUCAAUAUCUGUGAAGUGAAAAAAUAAAUCAAUUGCCACGUAGCCUACGUAGCCAAGGGGACUUGCGAUGGGCGCAAUUAAGAGUCUAAAUAGCUUUCCGGCAGUAGAGCAGUACGGCCAAAGCUUUGCCGAAUACACGCACACUACAGAAACACGACGUUUGAUCUUAAAUCAAAAUAAAAUCAAAUGGUGACUGUCGUAAUACCAUGCUAUUCGUAAGUUAUAGUAAAAGCCACAUUGCUUCAUGGCUUGCUUUGCGGAUAUUAACCAUGGCAACGGCAAAUGACUCCCAUAACACGCCGCUUAUCAGCGAGCGAAGGCCACCGUUAUUGCUUUCCAUUGAAAUUAAUAAGAUGAUUAUAACAAAAAAUGUUCUCCCCCUCCCCCGGUAACAUUUCACAACGGCAGCAGUGCGCAAGGACCAGUAGCCUACAUGAAAGCUGCCGUAGAGCAACACGUCAUACGAAUGCAGGCGCACACAUACACAACAUUUACAGAAAAUACAGUUCAAUUCAGGAGGUGCAAAUG